rnacentral:ncRNA from 1 species
CAGAGUAGACAUUACGGCGUAAAGUGUCGGUGAAACGGGGAGUUGUUCACUGAACGAAAGUCUUGACUGCGGUCGUGAUGUCGCAUCCCGCUG